rnacentral:piRNA from 1 species
UUCAAGACGUCAAGAAGCUGGACACCCUCCA